AGAGCUUGCUCUGUGGAUCAGUGGCGAACGGGUGAGUAACACGUGAGCAACCUGCCCCGGACUCUGGGAUAAGCGCUGGAAACGGCGUCUAAUACUGGAUACGAGACACCACCGCAUGGUGAGUGGCUGGAAAGAUUUUUCGGUCUGGGAUGGGCUCGCGGCCUAUCAGCUUGUUGGUGAGGUAAUGGCUCACCAAGGCGUCGACGGGUAGCCGGCCUGAGAGGGUGACCGGCCACACUGGGACUGAGACACGGCCCAGACUCCUACGGGAGGCAGCAGUGGGGAAUAUUGCACAAUGGGCGGAAGCCUGAUGCAGCAACGCCGCGUGAGGGACGACGGCCUUCGGGUUGUAAACCUCUUUUAGCAGGGAAGAAGCGAAAGUGACGGUACCUGCAGAAAAAGCGCCGGCUAACUACGUGCCAGCAGCCGCGGUAAUACGUAGGGCGCAAGCGUUAUCCGGAAUUAUUGGGCGUAAAGAGCUCGUAGGCGGUCUGUCGCGUCUGCUGUGAAAACCCGAGGCUCAACCUCGGGCCUGCAGUGGGUACGGGCAGACUAGAGUGCGGUAGGGGAGAUUGGAAUUCCUGGUGUAGCGGUGGAAUGCGCAGAUAUCAGGAGGAACACCGAUGGCGAAGGCAGAUCUCUGGGCCGUAACUGACGCUGAGGAGCGAAAGGGUGGGGAGCAAACAGGCUUAGAUACCCUGGUAGUCCACCCCGUAAACGUUGGGAACUAGUUGUGGGGUCCUUUCC
rnacentral:rRNA from 1 species